UACGUAGGUGACCAGCGUUGUCCGGAUUUACUGGGCGUAAAGAGCGCGCAGGCGGUCGUUCAAGUCGAGUGUGAAAGCCCCCGGCUCAACUGGGGAGGGUCAUUCGAUACUGAUCGACUUGAAGGCAGGAGAGGGAAGUGGAAUUCCCGGUGUAGUGGUGAAAUGCGUAGAUAUCGGGAGGAACACCAAUGGCGAAGGCAGCUUGCUGGGACGGUACUGACGCUGAGGCGCGAAAGCGUGGGGAGCAAACAGG
rnacentral:rRNA from 1 species